rnacentral:lncRNA from 1 species
UCCCCACCGUCGUCCUCAGGGCUCAUCUGCCCUGGCUUGAAACAGGGGCAGGGGUAGACUCGCCGGCGUUCUAUUAGAAAGUAAGUGUUUUUUUUUACUUCUUAAACACUUUAGUAAAUCUUAAUUAGCAUAGAUCUUACAAUUUAAUGCAAUCUAGUUCAAUUAGUUUGAUCUUCAUAAAUUUUCCAAAUACAGUAUGAUUUUGAUCAAAUAUUCUUUAAUUUAUAGGAAUUAAUUUCCUGAAUUGUUACAUACACAAGGACGGUUCUAGUUGUUUCCCUUUAUGCUAUAACAUACUGAAAAAAAGCUUUAUUUUGUAGUUUUGGCUUUUGCCUUUAAAAGAAUGUUAUGUUAUAACAUUUUCGUGCGCGAAAAAACACCAAAAAAGGCAAUAGAAGCAUAUUGCCCAACGACUCCUUUAUCCUUUCUAGUAAUGUACUAGGUAGAUAUAAGAUUAAAGAGGAGGUAAUGUUAAUGAGCAAGUGUUUGAAAGUCCAAGUUUCUGUUUUUUUUUUAUACAUUUUAAAAAUAUAUUUUAUUUAAAAAUAUAUUAAAUUAAUAUUUUUUUACAAUUUUAAUAUAUAUAUAUUUUAAAAUAAUUUAAAAAUGCUUUUCACUAUAUAACAUAAUAGGUGUAAAUUAUAGACAUGAAUUAAAUGUCAAAUAACCAAUUCAACCCAAAAGCUUAAGCUGUUAGGUAAAGUUCUAAGAUAUAAUUUAUAUUAUUCUCUAAUACAUCCCCUCAAGUUAAAGCUGUUUGAACUUGAAACUUAUACAGACUCAUAUUAUCUUGUGCUUAAUUUUUAUCAAAUAAAUAGGGAUGGUGAGAUUCGAACUCAUGACCGCUUGGUUAUCAAGACUCUGAUACCAUGUUAAAAAAUCAAUUUAAUCUAAAAACUUAAACUAUUAAUAUUAAUUUUAAGAUAUAAUAUAGAUUAUUAUUUAGAUUUACUUUCUAAAAAUAGUUGUUUUUUUUUCCUUUUGAUUUCUUGCUAUUUUGGGAUAAAAUCACAGGACAGAUUAGAGCCGUGAAGGGUAUAUUAGCAAAUAAAGUGAAAAGGAGAGGGCAAUAAGUAGGUAUGAGGAAAUAUGUAACGAUCAGGAGAGUGCGUGGAGGCAAAGCUAAACCGAAAGCAAGGGUAAAAGUGGCAGACAAAGAGCCAAAGAAAGUG